UGUUAAAUGAAGGUGGUGAGAUGUACUGGAUUAAUCCCUGUGCAAAGAUAUCUUCAGAUUACUGGAAUGAGCACAUCAGCCUCUUGUGAGGUCUGUCUAAAGAAGACUAACAAAAAUUCAGUGCAGCGUCCUGAGAAGAUGGAUCGCAGCUCUGCAGUCACUGUCCAGGUGGGUCAGUGGGAGCAGAAGCCCUCUGCUGAUGUACAGGCUCUGGUCAGCAACAUCCAGCAAGACCCACACAGCCUCUGCCUGCUGGAGCUUUUUGUUUGCCUGUGACUGGAAAGUCAGAUUUCUGUUCCGGGGGUUGCAGCUCCCUGUGCUGGAGAAACAGCCUGGCACCUGCAGAGGUGCACGGUGAUAUGAUUGUGAGGAAGCAAAGCCCAGGAAGAAGGAAUCCCUGCAGUCCUGUUCUUUUAGCUCCAAGCCUGCUCAGAGGAAGCAGCAGACAGUUUGAGGGGUUUGGGCUCACAGAUGGUGACAGCAUGGAGAGACUGUGGUCCUUCCCUGAAGAACUGCAGGAGUCACAGAGGAGAUGAGUCCAUCUCACUGUCUGGACUUGCUGACUGAUUAAGUGGAUUAGUAUUUAAUAUCCAUUGUAAGCGCUAUUUAUAUCUACGUCAUGAUUUAAGGAAGUAAUCAUUUUGAUGCACAUUCUUAAUUUUAUGUUUGAGAAUGUUUCAUGUGUUGUUUCACUUUAGUUUGAAAGUUUA